rnacentral:rRNA from 1 species
GACGAACGCUGGCGGCGUGCUUAACACAUGCAAGUCGAACGGAAAGGCCCUGCUUUUGUGGGGUGCUCGAGUGGCGAACGGGUGAGUAACACGUGAGUAACCUGCCCUUGACUUUGGGAUAACUUCAGGAAACUGGGGCUAAUACCGGAUAGGAGCUCCUGCUGCAUGGUGGGGGUUGGAAAGUUUCGGCGGUUGGGGAUGGACUCGCGGCUUAUCAGCUUGUUGGUGGGGUAGUGGCUUACCAAGGCUUUGACGGGUAGCCGGCCUGAGAGGGUGACCGGCCACAUUGGGACUGAGAUACGGCCCAGACUCCUACGGGAGGCAGCAGUGGGGAAUAUGGCACAAUGGGCGGAAGCCUGAUGCAGCAACGCCGCGUGCGGGAUGACGGCCUUCGGGUUGUAAACCGAUUUCGCCUGUGACGAAGCGUGAGUGACGGUAAUGGGUAAAGAAGCACCGGCUAACUACGCG